rnacentral:rRNA from 1 species
GAUAACUGGCUUGUGGCGGCCAAGCAUUCAUAGCGACCUCGCUUUUUGAUCCUUCGAUGUCUUCUCUUCCUAUCAUUGUGAAGCAGAAUUCACCAAGCGUUGGAUUGUUCACCCACUAGUAGGGAACAUGAGCUGGG